rnacentral:lncRNA from 14 species
GGCUGUUUCCAUGGGAUAUCCCACUGCUGGGUCUGGGUGAUGCUGGAAUGGCCUCAUUGGACAGGGGGAUGUGGGGAGCAGGACCCGCUGGCAGCCAGCAGAGCCCAUGGAGCCGGUGGCACCAGGAAGUGAUGGAGCUGAUGGCCCCGGUAACCGGCUCUGAGUCACUGCGGGGGGAGCCCGUGUCCGGAGCACGGGACUAUGGGGUCAGAGGCUCCCAUUCCUGAUCCCUUAUCCCCAUCCCUGAUCCCUUAUCCCCAUCCCCAGGCACGGCCCCGCAGCCAUGGCCACGCUCUACCCCUCCCUGGAGGACAUGAAGGGUCACCAGCUCCUGCAGGCGCAGGCAGCAGCCGGGGUGAGGACACCCCCCACAACCGUGGUCACGGAGAAGCCAAAGCUCAGCUCAGACACCAGUAACACAGGUUGGGACCGGGGCUGUCUGAGGGGAGGGGGCACAGUGGUUACUAUGGGGGGCUCAGCUGAGACCCCUCACAUCCCAUUGCAUGGGCAGGGGAUGGAGGCCGGGGGGUCCCAGGCAGGGAGGCAAUGGCUGUGGGUUGGGAACCACCAUCCCUGAGGCCACCCCCUGUCCCCACAGCACCGCCUGUGCUGUACCCCAACCUGGCCGAGCUGGAGGACUACAUGGGGCUGUCCCUGUCCAGCCAGGAGAUCCAGAAGAACCUGCUCCCAGACAGCAGCGGCUCCGUAGGUGUCCCUGUGCUGCAGCAUCACUGCUGAGCACAGACCCCAUGCAC